UACAGAGGUCUCAAGCGUUGUUCGGAAUCACUGGGCGUAAAGGGUGGGUAGGCGGCACGGUAAGUCAGAGGUGAAAUCCCGGAGCUCAACUUCGGAAUUGCCUCCGAUACUGCCGUGCUUGAGGACUGGAGAGGAGAUUGGAAUUCACAGUGGAGCAGUGAAAUGCGUAGAUAUUGUGAGGAACACUAGUGGCGAAGGCGAAUCUCUGGACAGUUCCUGACGCUGAGGCACGAAGGCCAGGGGAGCAAACGGG
rnacentral:rRNA from 1 species